GGGAUAACCUUGCGAAAGUAAGACUAAUACCCAAUGACGUCUCUAGAAGACAUCUGAAAGAGAUUAAAGAUUUAUCGGUGAUGGAUGGGGAUGCGUCUGAUUAGCUUGUUGGCGGGGUAACGGCCCACCAAGGCAACGAUCAGUAGGGGUUCUGAGAGGAAGGUCCCCCACAUUGGAACUGAGACACGGUCCAAACUCCUACGGGAGGCAGCAGUGAGGAAUAUUGGUCAAUGGGCGAGAGCCUGAACCAGCCAAGUAGCGUGCAGGAUGACGGCCCUAUGGGUUGUAAACUGCUUUUAUAAGGGAAUAAAGUGGGAGUCGUGACUCCUUUUGCAUGUACCUUAUGAAUAAGGACCGGCUAAUUCCGUGCCAGCAGCCGCGGUAAUACGGAAGGUCCGGGCGUUAUCCGGAUUUAUUGGGUUUAAAGGGAGCGUAGGCCGGAGAUUAAGCGUGUUGUGAAAUGUAGACGCUCAACGUCUGCACUGCAGCGCGAACUGGUUUCCUUGAGUACGCACAAAGUGGGCGGGAUUCGUGGUGUAGCGGUGAAAUGCUUAGAUAUCACGAAGAACUCCGAUUGCGAAGGCAGCUCACUGGAGCGCAACUGACGCUGAAGCUCGAAAGUGCGGGUAUCGAACAGGAUUAGAUACCCUGGUAGUCCGCACGGUAA
rnacentral:rRNA from 1 species